rnacentral:misc_RNA from 1 species
GGAAAAAAAAAAAUUCAACCAAUGGAUUAAAAUUAGAACUGAGCUGGAACCAAGACUGGGGCGACUGUGGUCCAGUCUGAGGUCCCUGGUUCCAAGAGUCACCUGAACCAGUGGCCGCAUCUAACUAACCUUAUUUGUCAUCAUUAUUGUCAAACCAAUAUUACUUAAGCUUUAAUUUUUCAUAUUUACAUCAGAAUCCUUUGUUGUUACAAAAUAUAUGUAAUUAUGCUUGUUGAAUGUGCUAGUUGAAUGGCUUUGUGUUUACGUUACAUGCCUUUUUCUUGGAUGAGACUGAUUUUAAUCUGACAUUAGGCUGUUAGGUUAGGCUAGAGCCAAUUUCUGGAUGUUACAAUUUUUGCCAAGAGAAGCAGCUGGAACUACAUGUUUAUCACUUUGAACUUUUUAAUAAAUGAUCUAGGGCUCUGUUCCAUUUUAUGUUAAUCCUGUACAGGUAUGGAGCAGUUGUGAUGGAU